GCUAUGUCAACAACACAAAUAGCUUUACUGGUUUGGGAAGUAGAAUUGGAACCAAAUUGGAAUUGAACUUAGUUGAAACAGAACAGCUAACUAACAACACAACUCUCUUUGCACCCAGAUUCCAGUCAGAGAGGGAGUCUGGGGAUCGGAACUUUGCUAUUGGCUACUAUCUGAAGGAGAAGAAGUGCUUUCCAGAAGGGACAGACAUGACUUCCAUUUUAGACCUCUACUUCCAGGUGGGGUAACACACCGAUGGAAGAGGCAGUGCACUUUGGACACCACGAUGUUGUGACCAUGCUCCAGGACUACAAUAACAAGUACAGUCCACCGGGGGGCGCCACUGAGGACAAAGAGAAGGAGAUAUCGGAGAAGAACAUUGACGGCCUAUUAUAAAAAAAUGAGCCAACUAAUAAUCUUAUUUAUCCAUAGAAAUUAAAUAACUAGAACGGACGUUCCCAUUGAAAUUAUAUAUGUGAUCUGAGAGGCUUGGUCCUUUCCAGUCAUUCUAUUUCUAUGGCCCCAUUAACUAUCUGGAAGAUUUACUGUAAGUGUGUGGUCCCUUUGUCACGUCAGUGGUAGGUCACGUAUACUGUUGAUAAUACUGUAUUGUUGAUUUUGUAUAAAAGUAUUGUAUUUCUGUAUUUUCAAAGACGACAAUGUGUCCAAAAAAUAUAUUUUGACUGACUUUUACCCAGAUGUUUUUAGUUUUUUUGGUUGUUUCCUUUUUUAUGUCGUACUGUUCACUCUGCGCAACUCACCCUCUGUGUGUGUCGGCACUAUGUGGAAUGUAUUUUCUACAUUUAAGUGCACAAAACAUUUCUCUUUAUGUACAACAGUGUGUAAAACCUGAACGUAUGCAUAAGAUAACGUGCACAUUUAUGUAAUGUGUGUAUAUCCCUGAAAUUAAGAUAAUAUCUGAGGUAGAUGGAUUCAGUGUAAAUACUAUUUAUCUGUAGUGAAAUCAAGUGACUCUCUCACUGGCACAGCUUUUGAAGAAAAUUGAUAAAGUCCACACGCUGUGCAGUUAGGCUUAAGUUUGGCUAUAUUGAUGAGGCAGAAUGCGUUAUAUAAACUUUUCCACAUGUUCACAGAUCUAGGUAGCCUAGUCACAAAUAUGUUUGUGCUGUAUAUGACACUGGCUAUACAGUUGGCUAUACAGCCCAGACAGAUCUGGGAUCAGGCUAUCUAUGGUUUAGGACCUCUGGUCUUUUGAUUUAGGCCUAGUAGCUUCAUAUGAAUUGAAAGUAUGGCAUUAUGUGGAGUGAGUUUUGUUUUGCUGGUUUGCUAUUUGAUAGCUAGACAUUUUUGCACAUUUUUCUUCAAAAUGACAAAAGUUGUUUUUUCUUGAUUGUUCUAUAGUCUUAUUUAAAUUUUGAGUAGAAAGGGGUUUAUUUAUUUAAGUGUCAGCCAAAGCUGUUGUGUACGUUUGCUCCACCUGAUAAUAAAGUCAAGUCGGCAACUUUAAAAAAGAGAACAUAUCAUAAGUGAGCCGCCUAAUGCCCUGCAGAAGGUGUGGAGCCAUGGCACAAAACCCACAGUCUGAGUUUCUCAGGAG